rnacentral:rRNA from 1 species
AUUCCUACGGGAGGCAGCAGUGAGGAAUAUUGGUCAAUGGGCGAGAGCCUGAACCAGCCAAAUCGCGUGAAGGAUGAAGGUAUUAUGUAUUGUAAACUUCUUUUACAGGGGAAUAAAGUGCGGGACGUGUCCCGUUUUGUAUGUACCCUGAGAAUAAGGAUCGGCUAACUCCGUGCCAGCAGCCGCGGUAAUAAU